WAUAUUUAACGGCUGCGGUAUUCUGACUGUGCUAAGGUAGCGUAAUCAAUUGUUUUUUAAUUGAAAACUUGAAUGAAAGGUUAAACAAAUUACCUUAGUUUGUGCAGCUUGGUUAGUAAAUUAAAGUCAAGGUAAGAAUUCUUUGAUUUUCUAGGGGACGAUAAGACCCUAGAAGCUUUAAAAAAGAAAAAUUUUUAGUAGUUGUAUAGAUUUUUUUACUGGGGCGGUAUUAGUGUUUUAACUACUAAAAAUAGAGGUCGAUCCUUUAGAUAAAGAUAAUUCGGUGAAGUUACUUUAGGGAUAACAGUGCGGUAUUCUUGGAAAGGUCUUAUUAAUAAGAAUGUUCGCAACCUCGAUGUUGAAUUAAGAUGUCUACGUGGAGCAGUAAAUAC
rnacentral:rRNA from 1 species